CCUACGGGUGGCAGCAGUGAGGAAUAUUGGUCAAUGGCCGUAAGGCUGAACCAGCCAAGUCGCGUGAGGGACGACGGCCCUAUGGGUUGUAAACUUCUUUUAUAGGGGAGUAAAGAUCGCCACGUGUGCCUCUUUGCAUGUACCCUAUGAAUAAGCAUCGGCUAACUCCGUGCCAGCAGCCGCGGUAAUACGGAGGAUGCGAGCGUUAUCCGGAUUUAUUGGGUUUAAAGGGUGCGUGGGCGGUUUUUUAAGUCAGCGGUAAAAGUUUGGGGCUAAACCUUAACUUGCCGUUGAAACUGGAAGACUUGAGUGGGCACGAGGUAGGCGGAAUGCGUGGUGUAGCGGUGAAAUGCAUAGAUAUCACGCAGAACUCCGAUUGCGAAGGCAGCUUACCAGGCCAUAACUGACGCUGAAGCACGAAAGCGUGGGUAUCAAACAGGAUUAGAUACCCUAGUAGUC
rnacentral:rRNA from 1 species